rnacentral:rRNA from 1 species
CAGUCUUACCUGCGGAUAAUCAGCUUUUUGAGUGUGAUUAUGUGGUUUAUGAGGAGUUUAACCGCCUUCAUGUAUUGCAUAUUUGUGCUCUUGGGUGUACUUGCCUGUGUGGUUGGUUAACAUCAAUUUCGGUCGGCAUAAAAUGAUUAGAGGAAUGUAGCUUUGAUCUCGUAUCGAAGUGUUAUAGCCUUCGGCAGAUGUGAUGAUCGAGAUUGAGGAUUGCAACGGAUACCCUUCGGGGCUACCUGUCUGAUCUCUGAUCGUUGCUCUGGUACCGAAAGCGUGCUUACGGUUAUCAAAGUCGAUGGUCAACAGGUUAGAACGGGUUAAAUUCGUUAAGGAUGUUGACGUAAUGGCUUUAAACGCCCGUCUUGAAACACGGACCAAGGAGUCUAACAUGUAUG